rnacentral:rRNA from 1 species
ACGAACGCUGGCGGCGUGCUUAGCACAUGCCAGUCGCACGGAAAGGCCCUGCUUUUGUGGGGUGCUCGAGUGGCGAACGGGUGAGUAACACGUGAGUAACCUGCCCUUGACUUUGGGAUAACUUCAGGAAACUGGGGCUAAUACCGGAUAGGAGCUCCUGCUGCAUGGUGGGGGUUGGAAAGUUUCGGCGGUUGGGGAUGGACUCGCGGCUUAUCAGCUUGUUGGUGGGGUAGUGGCUUACCAAGGCUUUGACGGGUAGCCGGCCUGAGAGGGUGACCGGCCACAUUGGGACUGAGAUACGGCCCAGACUCCUACGGGAGGCAGCAGUGGGGAAUAUUGCACAAUGGGCGGAAGCCUGAUGCAGCAACGCCGCGUGCGGGAUGACGGCCUUCGGGUUGUAAACCGCUUUCGCCUGUGACGAAGCGUGAGUGACGGUAAUGGGUAAAGAAGCACCGGCUAACUACGUG